CUGGCGGAGAGCACCGCCCCUGAGUGCUGAUGCUGGUGGGCGGGAGAGGAAAUGGAAUUCCCCAGGCCGGCCGGCGCGCGCGCAGACGCAGCUCCCCUCGGCGUCCAAUCGGGGGUGCGCUGUGGGAGGGGCCGCGGGGUCCCGGUUUCCGGUGGCCCAGGUGAUGGAGAUUUCUUCCCGCGGUCCUCGGAGGGAUUGAGCCGCGGAAGGAGGCUCCCCUGAAAUUAGGGACGGUAAUUUGAAACAGAUCCAGGCUGAGUGCUGAUAGCGCCGCCACGUGCGGGACGAUGUGCGUGGUAAACCCCGAGGGCCCAAUCCGACCAGCGGCCUGCAGGGGUCUGCGUUAGCACAGCCUUAACAAUGCGGUUUAAUUGUGGUCGGAUUGCAUUGAGCCUUGGUCCCCGAUGUCAGGCUAAAUCAGGUCUCCUUCACUACUACGUAGAUGACGCCUGCCCUUUCUCAGCUGCUGUGUUGUAAAUGUCAUAAUGUGAAUGGACACUGACACUGUAGGCUGGACAGAAGCCAGGGUGCAGUGAUUAGUGGGAAACACUGGAACCUACAAUCAGGAACUCAACAUAAAGGGAGGACAAUGAAGAAGAUUCAAAGAAACCAGUUCCCGUUGCCCUAAUCUAACAAGCUUCAACGUAAAAGUACACUGAAACUUCACUGCUAUGCAACAAAGCACAGCACAGUGGGACAAAUUUGAGGGAAGGGACAGCAUCCCAGCUAUAAGAAAAGUACUUGUGAUGGCUACCUUUGACACGUUAUGUGUCAACUUGACUGGGUAGACGGAUGCCCAGAUGGUUGGUAAACACUAUUCCUGGUGAAUCCUUAAGAGUGUUCUUGGGAGAGAGUACCCUUUGAAUCAGUGGACUGAGACCUAAGAAGACCGCCCUCAAUGCAAACAAGUUUUUCAAUUCAUUGAGAUUUUGAAUAAAAUUUAAUUGCAGAAGAAAGGAAACCUGCUUCUUUUUUCUUACAUGCAUCUUCUCCGGCCCCAGAUGGACAUCAGUACUUAUGGUUUUCUGACCUUUGGAUUCACAAUGAAGCUUUUAUAGCUUCCUCCACUCUACCCUCCAAACCCUCAGACUUGGACUGAUUUAUCCCACUACCUUUACUUGUUCACCAUUAUGUAAAAGUAACUUUUGGGACUUAGUGGCCUUCGUGAUAGUGUCCGAGCCAAUGUCAGUGUUUCUUUGGAAAACUGUAAUUAAUGCAUUCCUCUCUGCUCUUACUUUAGAACACAGAAUUCAGUUUAAUACUAUUAUUGUCACUUAGUUUCACAAAACUUAAUUAGCUCUUUUGUGUGUUAUCUUGAAAUAAAGUCACUGUAAUGUUCUUAUGUUUCAAAGGCAUUCUGUCUUUCAACGAAAGUAACUUACAAGUACAGUUUUUAAAAACAAUCUCAGGAGCUUGAGAGAUGGUUCAGCAAUGAAAGAGCACUG